rnacentral:rRNA from 1 species
UAGGGAAUCUUCCACAAUGGACGCAAGUCUGAUGGAGCAACGCCGCGUGAGUGAAGAAGGUUUUCGGACCGUAAAGCUCUGUUGUUGGUGAAGAAGGAUAGAGGUAGUAACUGGCCUUUAUUUGACGGUAAUCAACCAGAAAGUCACGGCUAACUACGUGCCAGCAGCCGCGGUAAUCGUAGGUGGCAAGCGUUGUCCGGAUUUAUUGGGCGUAAAGCGAGCGCAGGCGGAAGAAUAGGUCUGAUGUGAAAGCCCUCGGCUUAACCGAGGAAUUGCAUCGGAAACUGUUUUUCUUGAGUGCAGAAGAGGAGAGUAGAACUCCAUGUGUAGCGGUGGAAUGCGUAGAUAUAUGGAAGAAUACCAGUGGCGAAGGCGGCUCUCUGGUCUGCAACUGACGCUGAGGCUCGAAAGCAUGGGUAGCGAACAGGAUUAGAUACCCUGGUAGUCCAUGCCGUAAACGAUGAGUGCUAAGUGUUG